UCGACUCAGAUCGGGCGAGAA
rnacentral:rRNA from 1 species